rnacentral:misc_RNA from 1 species
UGGUUCUGGCAUCGAUGAAGAACGCAGCGAAAUGCGAUAAGUAAUGUGAAUUGCAGAAUUCAGUGAAUCAUCGAAUCUUUGAACGCACAUUGCGCCCUCUGGUAUUCCGGGGGGCACACCUAUUCGAGCGUCAUUAAGACCAUCGAGCUAGGCUCGGUAUUGGGCGGUCGCCGCGGACGUGAGCGUCGAAGCGGCGACGCCUGGAAGACAUCGGCGACGGCGUCCGGUCCUCGAGCGUGACAGCGGUUUCUCCCGAGCGCUUUGGAGGGUCGGCAUGCCUGGCUGCCGCGUUGGACGCAUCAACCAAAGGUUGACCUCGGAUUAGGUGGGGUUACCCGCUGA